rnacentral:rRNA from 1 species
UACGUAGGUGGCAAGCGUUGUCCGGAUUUACUGGGCGUAAGGAGCGCGCAGGCGGCCAAGUCAGUCGAAUGUGAAAGCCCCCGGCUCAACUGGGGAGGGUCAUUCGAUACUGCUCGGCUCGAAGACAGGAGAGGGAAGUGGAAUUCCCGGUGUAGUGGUGAAAUGCGUAGAUAUCGGGAGGAACACCAGUGGCGAAGGCGACUUUCUGGCCUGUUCUUGACGCUGAGGCGCGAAAGCUAGGGGAGCAAACGGG